AUAAAUUUAAUUUAAUUUCUACGCUUCAUUGAUGCUUGUAUAAAUACAACUGCCUGAUUAUUUAAAAGCAUUGUAACAUAUUACUUCUUGCUUCAAAAUAAACCAUGAAGUACUUCGCCGUUUUGGUUUUCACCAUCCUUGCUUUUACAUAUGUUAUGGCUGGUACCUACGUGCCAUGCUUUAAUGACGAGGAUUGUAAUAACUCGUGUCAGAGCAAAUGCAUCCCAUCCUCUGUGACCGGCGUGUGUGCCAAUAACAUAUGUUUCUGCAUGCUUAUUAGGAAUAUCAUAGGACGACACCAUGCUUAAAAUUAAAUAGCAUUAAUGUAAUUAAAUGUUAUUUAUACAAAAACAUGUAUUGGCCACAAUAAAAGUAAUAUGUAAAA